UCACUUGGGCAGUUUGUAUGCUAAAAUUGGAAUGGUACAGAGAAGAUUAGCAUGGCCCCUGUGAAAGGAUGAUAUGCAGAUUCAUGAAGUGUUCCAAACUUUU